AGCAGCAGUAGAGCAGCAUCGCCAUCUGCAAAACCCUAAUUUCCCACUCACUUCUCUGCAAGAAAAGAUGUCGGUUGGAGAGCUCGCUUGCACCUAUGCUGCUUUGAUUCUUCACGACGAUGGAAUCCCCAUCACUGUAACAUUUCUUUACUAAUUAAUUUGCGUCUUCACAUUUUCUGUUUUUGACCGGAAUUCCAUACAUUUCUAUUCGUAUAGACGUUUUUGUAUUUAAUUUAAACGCAUACCUAUUUUUAGGCGGAGAAAAUCUCGACCCUGCUGAAGGCUGCUAAUUUGUCGGUUGAAUCGUACUGGCCUAGUCUUUUCGCAAAGCUUUGCGAGAAGAGGAAUGUGGAGGAUCUUAUCGUGAACGUCGGCGCUGGUGGUGGCGGUGGCGCCGUCGCAGUCGCUGCUCCAACCGGCGCUGCAGGUGGUGGCGCUGCUGCAGCUGCCCCGGCUGUAGAGGAGAAGAAGAAG
rnacentral:lncRNA from 1 species